AAAAGGGUGCUAUUUCAUACACGUGAGGGUUAUUUGAACUUCAACGACCGUUUAUGGAACCUUUCUGAAGACGUUAAUUCUUCACUGGAUUUAACGGUAAGUGACACACAACCCUAAUCCCUUUCAUUUCAAUCAUAAUCAUUACCCGUGUUGUCUGCAAAUCAAAGCCAGAAAUUAUGCCUCUUAAGUAAAAAACAAGGGGCGUUCUUCAUAAACGUCAGUGGGCGUUAACCGGUCAGCUGUUAGCUAGAAUCUAUAAAUUCGUUGUCUCUGAAUGAUUUUAGCAGCAGCUAGCUAUCCUAUCCUGUCACCCUACUGGAUCCAUCAUUAAGAUUAGUUUUCUACUUCCUUGUCAGGCUGACAAUAAAAUCAACUACGAUUAUAUGAUUUUGAGCUUGUAUCCACUAUUGUUGUUCAAUGAUAUUCACUGUCCUCCCGGCUCCCGAUAAGUUAAGCUAACUAAAUUUAGCGUGCUAGCUAGCAUGGCGAGUUGCCAUUAACUAGCUAGUUACAAACGUCAGCCAGCAAUGCAAAAUCAGAAUGAUAUGGCAGUAACUACUUCAUUACCAGGCUAUCUAGUUAAAUUACACCAAACCAGCCAUCAAGUACAUAUAAUUGAGUUGUAUCAUUGUCAACACAAGUUUUUUGUUUUAUUUUUCGUUUUAAAGAACAGGAAAUUGAUGGAGACUACUGGGCCUCACUGAACGGAUGGUUGAAGAACUAUCCCCGUCUAUGAAAUUGCAGGUGAUGUUUGUGAAGGAACUGAACUAGCUCCUAGAACAACAUGAAGUUGGAUUGCCCCUGGACCAUGCUGACAGCAUAGGCAAAAGACUGUCCUGUCUAGACUGUCCUGUGCCAGUGUUGAGAAUGAUGCUUCGACAAAGACCAUGCUCGUCUUCUUUGACCCAACCAUGGCCAACAGUAUUCAGUCUGCCCACCUUCCCCCCAGAAAAAGUACCCAAACCAUAAAAAAUAUACAGAUGUUCUGGGAUCUCAUCACCAGAUUUCCGUUUCUUGGAGAACACAGCUCCUCUGGUAUGUUCUUUCCCAACUGUUAUGCAAAACAUUAUUCCUCAGUUCAAUUUCUAUACUACUUUGAUUUUGUGCCAGCCUCAUAAUUUAUGUCUAUACCCACAGGAGACCCUACUUGAGUGUCUGAGGAACAAAAUAAAAAAAGAA